UACGUAGGGUGCAAGCGUUUGUCCGGAAUUAUUGGGCGUAAAGAGCUCGUAGGCGGUCUGUUGCGUCGGCUGUGAAAACCCGGGGCUCAACUCCGGGCCUGCAGCCGAUACGGGCAGACUAGAGUUCGGCAGGGGAGACUGGAAUUCCUGGUGUAGCGGUGAAAUGCGCAGAUAUCAGGAGGAACACCGGUGGCGAAGGCGGGUCUCUGGGCCGAUACUGACGCUGAGGAGCGGAAGCGUGGGGAGCGAACAGG
rnacentral:rRNA from 1 species